AAGUCGUAACAAGGUAACCGUAGGUGAACCUGCGGUUGGAUCAUUAACAAAUGAUUUGGUUCAAACCAAAACAUUGUGUGCAAUUAUAUCUGUCUCUGGUGGGUAUCUUCAAGUGUUUUCUGAACGCUGGUUGCCCCACCGAACUUGUAAAAACAACUGUUUCUUUUUUCCAGUCUGAUUCAUUCACUGUAACCCUUUGUGGUUAUGAUUGUGCAAUGGAAAACAAUUUUUAACAACGGAUCUCUUGGUUCUC
rnacentral:misc_RNA from 1 species